UACGGGGGGGGCAAGCGUUGUUCGGAAUUACUGGGCGUAAAGGGCUUGUAGGUGGCCAACUAAGUCAGACGUGAAAUCCCUCGGCUUAACCGGGGAACUGCGUCUGAUACUGGAUGGCUUGAGUUCGGGAGAGGGAUGCGGAAUUCCAGGUGUAGCGGUGAAAUGCGUAGAUAUCUGGAGGAACACCGGUGGCGAAGGCGGCAUCCUGGACCGACACUGACACUGAGGAGCGAAAGCCAGGGGAGCAAACGGG
rnacentral:rRNA from 1 species